rnacentral:rRNA from 1 species
ACGUAGGGUGCAAGCGUUAUCCGGAAUUAUUGGGCGUAAAGAGCUCGUAGGCGGUUUGUCGCGUCUGCUGUGAAAACUGGAGGCUCAACCUCCAGCCUGCAGUGGGUACGGGCAAACUAGAGUGCGGUAGGGGAGAUUGGAAUUCCUGGUGUAGCGGUGGAAUGCGCAGAUAUCAGGAGGAACACCAAUGGCGAAGGCAGAUCUCUGGGCCGUAACUGACGCUGAGGAGCGAAAGCAUGGGGAGCGAACAGGAUUAGAUACCCUGGUAGUCCAUGCCGUAAACGUUGGGCGCUAGAUGUGGGGACCAUUCCACGGUUUCCGUGUCGCAGCUAACGCAUUAAGCGCCCCGCCUGGGGAGUACGGCCGCAAGGCUA